rnacentral:rRNA from 1 species
CGCGUAGGUGGAUUAGCAAGUCAGAGGUGAAAACCACAGGCUUAACUUGUGGCCUGCCUUUGAAACUGCUUUUCUUGAGUGCGGAAGAGGAAAGUGGAAUUCCUGGUGUAGCGGUGAAAUGCGUAGAUAUCAGGAGGAACACCGGUAGCGAAGGCGGCUUUCUGGUCCGCAACUGACACUGAGGCGCGAAAGCGUGGGGAGCAAACA